UGACUCUUUCAUGUUUUACCUUUGCUUGCAACAGAUCCUGAUGUAACACCUGGUAUUCAUGAAAACAUUUCUAAGGAAAAGACCUAGGUCAGUUGUGACCAGAAAUCAAUCCGGUUGAUGGCUGAGCACAGCGCGUGAGGACGUGAGAAGAGGGCGGGCGCCCGUGCAGGUGAGCAUCUUCCAAACACGCCUCAGGGGCCCUGCCUGGCUCGCAGCCUCCCUGGAGGCUGGACGCGAGCGGAGAGGCGCCAUCUCUGUGGACGCAGCUCUGCUGUCCUCAUGGGCCCCACUCCCCCUCCUCUUUCCACCUGUUGUCAGAGCAACACGUCGUCCUUCUGAAUGCACAGCCUAAUGGACUAAUAACAUUAUUCUCUAAAGCAUAUGUCACUAAUUUAAAACAAUAACAAUCAAAACAGGUAAAGAGGCGCAUAAUCCAUUUUAUCUGAAACAACUCAGCAUACCAAUGACUCCAUCAUCUCGGCUCUGUUAGAAAAGAUGUGUUUGUUAAUAUGGGCGGAUUUAGAAACACUGCCAUGUGGACAUGCAGUAUUGAAGUUGCUGUAGCUCAUACAUUUGUAGAGUGUUUUGUUUCCUUCAGAAAGCUUUCAGAGUGAGGGUAUGAGACAAAAGCCAGCAGGAGAACUUCUGGACGGCUUGGUCGUGCCUGAGGUUGAAAUUUCUCCCCAUCCUCCCACUCUGGCCUCCUCUCUCACUUUUCUCUUCCUUUUACACACACUUCUCCUGAAGAGCUGGCUGCACAUUUGCACACUUAUGUCACAAUCAGAGCAGGUUAUCCUCUCUGUGUCAAAUCUAGGAGCUUUAAACAAACAAAAUAACUUCCCAAAGAGGAAUAAAGAAAAUGACUGCCCUGCUACAGCCCAAACUGUGCUACACAUGAUCAGUGCACACCAGCCAGAGGUACUCACAACGGACCAGAGGAUAUGGUUACAAGCAGUGUCUGAAUCAAACCUGGAGAAUUUUUGUGAUGAGCACUUUGAUCAUGUAUUCUCUCAGUCCUUCCCCAAUACAAACAUAUCGAGUGCAUUCUGUGAGAAGGGUGUUGCCGGAAAUGAAUGGGAUUAUUUUAUUCAUAUUAAAAUGUAGAAUUUUCUGUCUACCUGUUGAUCAUCAUUCAAUUAAAUUUUUAAAUUAUCCAAAAAUUAAAAAUAAGUAUGGAUCAUAAUAAUACAGCAGUAUUUUUUAAAUUGAUAAACUCUUAAGGGAAACAUGAGAGAAAUACAUGGCUUUGACAGCAGUUAAUACUUAGAGAGAACGGUACCGUUGUGUUCUUUACUCAGAACUCAGUUUGGGAUGUGAGAACUCAGUUUUGAAAUACAACACGUCUUCAAGCCAGAAGAGGUUUCACAUGUCAGAAUUGCUAAUUGCUAAGUCUGAGCCCCAGGAUCCGUUUCUAUAUAAGCGUUUGCUUGAAAAGUUAUUAAACUGAGUAG
rnacentral:lncRNA from 1 species